GAUGAACGCUGGCGGCGUGCCUAAUACAUGCAAGUCGAGCGAAUGGAUUAAGAGCUUGCUCUUAUGAAGUUAGCGGCGGACGGGUGAGUAACACGUGGGUAACCUGCCCAUAAGACUGGGAUAACUCCGGGAAACCGGGGCUAAUACCGGAUAACAUUUUGAACCGAAUGGUUCGAAAUUGAAUGGCGGGUUCGGCUGUCACCUAUGGAUGGACCCGAGUCGCAUUAGCUAGUUGGUGAGGUAACGGCUCACCAAGGCAACGAUGCGUAGCCGACCUGAGAGGGUGAUCGGCCACACUGGGACUGAGACACGGCCCAGACUCCUACGGGAGGCAGCAGUAGGGAAUCUUCCGCAAUGGACGAAAGUCUGACGGAGCAACGCCGCGUGAGUGAUGAAGGCUUUCGGGUCGUAAAACUCUGUUGUUAGGGAAGAACAAGUGCUAGUUGAAUAAGCUGGCACCUUGACGGUACCUAACCAGAAAGCCACGGCUAACUACGUGCCAGCCGCCGCGGUAA
rnacentral:rRNA from 1 species